AAGAGGCUGGGAAGACUGCAGGGGCAGGAACCCCGCCCCCACGCACGCAGACAGAAGACAGGCUUACAGAGAAUGAAGAGUGAAGGGAACAGCAGAUUUGCUGAUCAAACACUAAUGGAGGCCUGAACCAGAUCCUAAGGACGCACAGACAGUGAAGGCCGGAGGCUCCAUCAGGUCCAGGCUGUCCCUCGGGGCCCUGAGAAUAUCAGUGACAAUCAGCCCACAACAUCUCUGAUAAGAAUCACUAUGAACCCUUCCUGGAGAAGGAGGCCAUGGCUGGGAGGACCAAUCAGCUAGCUGCUCACUCUCUGUUAUGAGCCUUCGUGCUGGAGUCUGGGGUCUAGAGGAAGCCUCAUGGCCAAGGAGAGGGAGAGAUGACCCCAGAAGCUCACCGGGGGCCCAGGUUCACCAGCAGCUCCAUCCUCUCCAGGCGAUCCAGGGGGUCCCAUGAAAACAUCAGUUCCUGGUUUUCCUGGAAUCCCAGGUGAGCCAGGAGGGCCCGGGGGACCUGGGGGACCCUUAAAAAAAAAAAAGAUACUCUGUUAAGAAAAAGCAGGGUAGGGGAUAAAAUAUACUAAGCAUAUAUGUUCCCUUCAUUCUCUCUGUUCCUCACAAUAAUACUGCAAGUAGAGACUGGUGUUCCCACUUAGCCGAUGGGGGAAACUGAGGCUCAGUGAGACAAUGUGACUUGGUCUGGGCUUACACACUCACAGCUAAUUAUUAGAAAAGCUGGGACUUGAACCCAGGUCUUUCUGAGCCUAUCAUAUCAUGUUUUCUCCCUAGAUAUAGCUAUAGAAUAAAAAUCCACAAUCAGUUAGAAUUUUCAGAGGUGUCCUGGCUAAUUUAGUUUUCUGAUUACCUGACAGAGCAGUCAAAAACUGCCUGUUGCUAACUCUUAUUAAAAUUCUUCCUGUAGGGGCACCUGGGUGGCUCAGCGGUUGAGCAUCUGCCUUUGGCUCAAGGCAUGACCCUGGGGCCCUGGGAUCCAGUCCCGCACUGGGCUCCCCGCAUGGAGCCUGCUUCUCCCUCUCCCUGU